rnacentral:pre_miRNA from 1 species
UCUGUCCCAUGCCAAAAUUAAUAUGGCUGCUGAAAUUAAUAUGAUAAUUUUGGCAUGGGACUUAUGUCUGCUAGAAUUACCAUAUUAAUUUCGGCAACCAUAUUAAUUUUGGCAUGCACAG